GUGAGGGAACAGCCUUCGUACUUUCCCAUCUUGUAACAGGGAUCAACAGCUACAACCAUAACGCUAGCAAGGGCAUUGCUGCAACAGUUGGUGAUGUUUGAAUAAGGUCUGUGAUGCCAUAAUAGUAUAGCAUCCAUGUUAAUGUUGCUGAUUCUGAUAACUGGACUGGAGAGGCUGACCCUGUUCUUAAGAAACACAUGAACUAAUUGGGGAUGAAGAAGCCUCACUUCUGCAGCUCACUCUCAAAUGGCUCAGAGUUUUUUAAAGAGUAUGUAUUUAGAAAGACAGAAUAAUAAAGCAAAUCUGGCAAAAGAUUAACAACUGAUGAAUGGGAUAACAGGUAUGGAAAGGCUGCACUAUCCUCCCAACUUCUCAGUCAGUUUGGAAUGAUUUCAAAAUAAGAAUUACUAGAAGACCCUAAAAAUGUUUGCGGUACAUUCUUCCAUAGUAUAGUUUGAAUCUUGUUCAAUAAGAAUACAUUUAUGUUACUAGAGUAUGAGGCGGUUUUAGUUAUAAAAUAGGCACAGUACAUAAAAACCUCUCAUAAACUGUAAGUCAUAAGCUGUUAAAUAUUUAUCAUAUUUGUCAUUCUAGUCACUAUUGUUUCUGUUAUUAUUGACAUUGUUAGUAUUUCCAGGAGUUUUUCAAUUGCAGAGAGCCGCCUGCAGGAGAAAGGAGCAGCGACCCCACAAGAAACUGACCCAGACUUGCCCAUGAGUGUCCAGAGUCUCCAGCAGAGGUGCAGUCGGCUGUUGGCUUCAGGGUGACAUGGAAAAAGCGUGAAGUUUAAUAAUUCUGGAGACUGGAUGGGGAAAAUACAAUAAAUCGGCCUAUGCAGACCACCUCCUCCAGCCCAUUGGGAUCUACUCAGAGGCAGGGUCACAGCACUGGCAGCCGAGCAGCCUGUGGGCCAGGCAUAGAGACACGUCCGGACACACAGCAAGCAGAGCGGCUGCUCUGGGAAAUCUGAGGCGGAGGAGACACGAGAGGGGAAGGACAGUCUGACUGUGUGUGCUUUUGUAUUCUCGGCAUCUUUCCCAAUGAACUGGUAGCUUUAGAAUCCAGUGUCAUCAUCAGCUCUGCAGUGUUAGCCACCAGAAAUGCCAGCAAGAGAAAACCGUCCUUGUGGAAACAGGGCCAGUCCCUCUGAGAUACUCC
rnacentral:lncRNA from 1 species